rnacentral:rRNA from 1 species
UACGGAGGAUCCAAGCGUUAUCCGGAUCUAUUGGGUUUAAAGGGUGCGUAGGCGGAUUGAUAAGUUAGAGGUGAAAUGUCCGAGCUUAACUCGGGAACUGCCUCUAAUACUGUUGAUCUAGAGAGUAGAUGCGGUAGGCGGAAUGUAUGGUGUAGCGGUGAAAUGCUUAGAGAUCAUACAGAACACCGAUUGCGAAGGCAGCUUACCAAUCUAUAUCUGACGUUGAGGCACGAAAGCGUGGGGAGCAAACAGG